UAGGAUUUUCAUUAGGUUUUUCAAAGUUAGAGAAAAUCGGAAUUCAAACUAAGUUAAAGUGGAAUGAGAUUGAAGGGAUUUUCAUUAGGGGCGAAUAAACUACAGGUGAGUUUUGAAUUCAGUUGGCGAAUUUUGCGGGCAUUUUGGUUUGUGCUGUGCGUUUUGUAACUUCACAUACGCGGCACCUCCAGAUCAACCUCGAACUCGUGCUCGUGCCUCUGAUUCGAACCUCGCGGCUGUAGUAGGUGUUGGAACAACUUAGUGGCCAAACCCCAGUGUUUUCCAAAGGUUAGUUUUGGAUAACUUUCUAAAUGGCUAGUUCAGUGAUGCUGGUAAUGGGCAUAGAUCUCAAAUCGGUGUUCAUUGGAACUUUUUGUUGAUCAUUUUUGUGAUUCUCUCAUUUUCUCAAAAUAUAGAUUGUUGGUGAAGUGAUUUUGAAGAACCCCCAAGGUUUAGGGUAGUUUAUUUUAAGGUUUUUAAGGGAAAGUUGGUUUUGUUUUUUUAAAUUGCAUUGUCAAGACUCAAAGGUCUAAUAAUAGGGUGGAAAAUGGUAGUUUGAGUUUUGAAAUUUUUGUUAAUCAUAAUGAUUUAGUGUGGACCUGUUCUGUGGUUAUAAUCAGAGUAGUGGUGGGCUUAAUGAAAGUGCAUUUAAAUGUCAAAUUUUCUUCAGAAACUCGAUUCAGAGGUUCAUGGAAGACCUGAAAAUGAGGAUUCUGAUGUAUCUUGAUUGUAUGGUUGAUUUCCUGCUUAAUUUAAUUUAAACCUUGUAUGCAAGUCCAGAAGAUGGAAAGCAUAGUCUAUUGCUCACUGACUGUGCGAGAGAGAGAGAGAUGAUGUGCACUAAUUGACAUCUGAAUUUUGACACUAUAUAGUAGAUAGGCUACAAUAAUCAUCUCUUCCAAGAGAAAUAUUGGAAAAAGCUGUUACUGAUUAUGAC